rnacentral:lncRNA from 1 species
UUUUUUUUUGCUUUUUAGGCAAAGGAGUGGAACAAGGAGGUUCCCAGGCUAGGGGUCGAAUUGGAGUUGCAGCCACCAGCCUACACCACAGCCAUAGCACCUCAGGAUCCAAGCUGCAUCUGUGACCUACACCACAGCUCACGGCAACGCCGGAUCCUUAACCCACUGAGCGAGGACAGGAAUUGAACCUACAACCUCAUGAUUAUGAGUUGGAUUUGUUUCCGCUGCACCACAACGGAACUCCUGAACCACACUUUCCAUCAUCGAACUGGAAGCACUUCAUCAACAAUCCAGGAAGACAGGGCAUUCCAGGAUGACCAUUCACUCCGUUUGUGGAAAUAAAGUAGCCUUCAGUCCUUUACAAUUUUGCUGAACAACGACUGCUAAGAGAAGUUUCAAAUAUUUGCUGGAGAUACUCUUGGAAAAUAGAGGGCAAUUUACUGGCCUGUGUGAUUUUCAAGUGGAAGAAUAUGUCAAUCACCUAAUUACCAACUAUUCAUCAAGGAGGGCUUUUAAAUACAUUGUAAAUGAAACGUGUAAAUUAGCCACGAAUUCCAAAUGUACUAUACUGUAUAAACGCAGAGCAGAAAUCUUUUCAAAAGUGUAAUUUAUUCAAAGGCGUUUCCUAGCUUAAAUACAUUCUCCCUGAAAAGCCAUCUGUAUUGACCCAAGUUACUACAUCUUCCAUGGUCCUUUUAGAAUAGAUAUUUAUUCAAAAGCUGCAAAAUAAUGGGGAACGAGUCUUCCAGUUGAAGUUAGUAUUACACAAAGUGACUUAGGACAUCACUUUUUAUUAUUCCAGUCCAGCAUCCUCCCUUCCUUUCCAUUGCGUCCUCUAGGCCUCAACACAACCUCUGAGUCUAGUAAGCACGAAAUAAUCCUUAUUUUUUACAUGACAGUUAGUCUCAAAAACAAAACAGGGAGUUGCAAAAUUGGAGGUCAGUGAACAAAAUUUGCUGCCCCUCAACCACACUGAUGCGUGCCAGGGUAGAAAAGUCAUUCCUAAUUCCUCCCAUUGCCGUCCAGAUCCAAAAAGGAAAGGGAACCAAGAUUUGGGACCAGAGUCCUUGGCAAAAAGAGAAAACCAUAAAAGUUUAAAAGAAAAUUUAAAAAAUUUAGAAAGCAGCAUUUAAAAUUGAACUGAUCCUGUGAGCAAAAAGGAAUUUGUUACUUAAAACAGAAAUGACAUACAUGAUGGGAUAUUAAGCAACAGGUAAGUAUUUUAUAUUGGACUUCCGUCGACGAUGCUGUUAAAUGCUGGCUCUCCCCAUUACAUGGUGAGCGUAGCCACUCUUGAGCUAAAAGAACACACACAGACAAACUUAAUGCAUGCAUUCCCAAACUACACACUUUCACCUAAUUUGUGGAAAUAGAUUAUAUUUCUGUUUAAAUACAAAGUAAAAGGAGGAGAAAUUUUGAAACGUUUGUCAGUCUUAUGAUUCGCAAACUGCAGGAACCACUGUGAUUCAUAUUAGCCAACAGGGUACGAAGAUCUCUGUUUACAUCCACGACGUGAUCAAAUCUUUUCACAACACCAGGGGCGCCUAUUCAUGGCAUUAAGAAGCAAGGUGAUUUAAACUUCCAGACACUGUCGAUGUGCUGUUCUUUUCAAAGGAAAAGUACGGGGUAUAUCAAAGGCAACCUCUGUAUUAAGAGCGAAUUUACAACUUCACUGCUUUCUUAAAUCAGAACCCAUUGCUCACAAUUUUUACAUCAUUUAAGAAUUUGUAAGAAGAACAAGAAGGAGUUUCCAUUGUGGUGCAGAGGAAAUGAAUCCAACUAGUAUUCAUGAAGAUGUGGGUUUGAUCCCUGGCCUUGCCCAGUGGGCCAGGGAUCGAACCCGCCACCUCAUGGUUUCUGGUUGAAUUUGUUUCCUCUGUGCCAUGAUGGGAAUUCGAGCAGCUGUUUUUUCUUAAUGUGAACAUCUCCAAGUAAGAAAAUUAACAAAAAUCCUGUGUCCUUAAUUAAGAAAAUUCAAUAUCUAGCAUCUUCCUCUCAAAGUCACAAUGCAGGUGCUUGCCACCUGAUUUCAGAAGCUCAAAAGGUAGACGAGAAUGGGUAGCAAUCACUAUACAGUGGUUCCUGGUAUUUGCGGGGAGAUUGGUUGUAGGCUCCUCAUUGAUACUAAAACUUGGGACACUCAGGUCCCUUACAUAAAGCAGUAGAGUAUCUGCAUAAAAUCUGUGCCCAUCCUCCUGUAUAUUUUUAUGUAUAUUUAAAAAAAUUUUGUUAUAGUUGAUUUAUAAUGUUGUGCCAAUUUCUGCUAUAUAGCAAAGUGACCCAGUUUUAUAUAUACAUACACAUAUUCCCUUUUUUCGCUUACUAAAUGAACUUUAUUAUGUUUACAGUUGUACAACAACCAUCACAACCCUUCAAUUUUAUAGCAUUUCCAUCCCAAACCCCCAGCGCAUCCUCCCACCCCUCGACCUGUCUCCUUUGGAAACCAUAAGUUUUUCAAAGUCUGUGAAUCAGUAUCUGUUCUACAAAGAAGUUCAUUGUGUCCUUUUUUUCAGAUUCCACAUGUAAGUGAUAGCAUUUGAUGUCGGUGUCUCACCUCUGACUGACUUCACUUAGAAUAAUUUCUAGGUCCAUCCAUGUUGCUGCAAAUGCUAUUAUUUCUUUCCUUUUAAUGACUGACUAGUAUUCCAUUGUGUAUAUGUACCACAUCUUCUUUAUCCACUCCUAUGUGGAUGGACGUUUAGAUGUUUCCAUGUCUUGGCUAUUGUAAAUAGUGCUGCAAUGGACACUGGUGUACAUGUAUCUUUUCCAGUCAUGGUUUUCUCUGGAUAGAUGCCUAGGACUGGGAUUGCUGGAUCAAUACUCCCUUUCUUGUAUAAUCUUCCAUCAUGGUCUCUCCCAAGAGACUGGAUAUAGUUCCCUGCACUGUACAGUAGGACUCAUUCCUCCUGUAUACUUUAAAUCGUCUCUAGAGUACUUAUAAUACCUAAUACAAUGUAAAUGCUAUGUAAAUAGUUCCUGGCAUGCGGAAAACGACAGUUUUCUAUUCUGGAACUUUCUUAAAUGCUGUUUUUAAUAUUCCAACCCUCAGUUGAAUUUGUGGACGCGGAAUCCGCAGAUAAGGAAGGCACAGAUUGGGAGGGCUGACUGCUACUGGUUUCCAGCAAGAGAUGCCUCCCUUUGCAAACACUCCUCAGAACUGAUAUAAGCAGAGCCUGUGAAGUAGGAGCCAUACAGAGAC